UCACACACUGAAUGGGUCCAAGAGAAAAGACAAAGCCACAUGUUAUGUCUGUAUCAGUCUUUCACAACUGGCUGGGAUGUUUCUUCUGUUGGAUCAAUGAAUAGGGAGGUUGUGUUUCUCCAUAAUUUCCCUGGACAGUGAGUAUAUUGAAGGAAUAAGAGCAGUGACACACCUCUCAACCUGCUUAAUCCUUUCCAGGAUGGAUCUUUCUACCAAGGGCUGAGAAUGUGAUAUACUCACAGGGGAAGCUGAUACGCCAAAAAUCUGUUAGUUUCAAACUCAAAUAGUAUUUGAAAUUUAAAGAAGAAAAAAAAAAAAUCACUCUGCACAACAAUCAAAGUUCUUUGCAGUUUUAUAACUACUCCUAAGCACAGAGCAAGACUCCAUUUCCUUUCCCUUUGCUUUGCCCAUUAGAACUACAUCAACUCUGUGACCAUUCUUGUUUUUACUUCCACAGCUUGGCCCAAGCAGGAAAACCGAUCCGUUAAUCUUAAAAAUCUACUGCAUAUUUUGUAAGAUCUGUGAAAAUUACGAAGCUGAAGCCUUUGGAUCCUUUAUUCUUACAGUUUUCAUUUCAUGGAUGGGUCCUAUGGGCAAGAUCUGUGUCGAGCAGCAACGCUUCCCCUUCAUCAGGGCAAUGAUGGGAAAGGUCAUUCUGACCUGAAGAACAGUCUGAAAGCAGAGAUACCUCUGGCUGUGCACUCCCAUCUCUGAGAGUAAAGCAAAUAUCUUCAGCUGUUAGCACUUGCUUGUCCUUGACUAAUAACUUAUUUUCAGAGGAAAGGAAAAAUCAGCAACUAGGUGAGAAAUGACUUGCUCAGAACUGUAGUUUAUCAGAGUGUGGAUAUUUCACAGUGGCUUUUUCUGGCAAAGAAUUGCUCCCCUCAUAGAUCAAUGAUAAGUAUGAACCAGGUCAUUCUCCGAAAUCUGGAGAGUAAGAAGUAGAUUCAGAGACGUGCCAACAAAUGUAUAUGCACCAACUAUUUCCCUGUGGAUUCUGGGAAAGGGCACCUUCAUAAGAAAACAUAUUAUAUUGUUAUUCAAACCAGAAUGUUUCAUUUCUUCAAGGAAUGAAGACAACUCAUUCCAAAUAGCAAACAAAAACAAUGGCCACUCCUGUUUCUUGGAAGUCUGAAGGAUUUGCAUCAACAGAAAACAGCAGCUGCUAGGAUAGGUUUAUUUCCUUGUUAUUUAUCUCCUUAGCAGUUACCCAUAACUGGUGUUUCACUUUCUGACCUAACCUGGAGUUACUCCUUUCUGCACUACUGAUCGAAGUCUGCUGAGACUCCACAUGUGCUGGUCUGGUCUGAUUUGCAGAACUGUGCUUGAGUCCUGCUCAGAGAGGAAUAUUAUUGCUCUUCUGCCACUUCUCCUGAGACAAAAUCAGCCAAACUCUGCAGAAAACAAGGGGUUAAUAGCAGUGAUGCAACAAGACUGUUUCCUGGAAAAGGAGAUAUUGUCUACAAGUGUUCACAGUGCCUUUCAGAGAGUAAAAGAGAAUUGAAACAGGCUCUAUUCUCAAAUAGCUGACAUUGAGCAUCUUCUAGCUAAAAUAUUCUUUACAAAGCACUAGAAUUAUUUUCCAUUAGGUGGUCAACAAUAUGCUCAGGUGAAUGCAGAUAGGAUUUAGAGCAAUACAACCUCAAACUUCUAAAAUAGUAGAAGGGCUCAGAAAGGAAGGGAGCCUAGGUCUAAUUCAGAACUUAAUAUGUGUUUUCAACAUGCAUAGCUGCUACAACAGUAGAAGUUAAAGGACUAACAAUAACUCUGGCCAGUUUUAUUUAUGUUGGGUUUCAGCCCAAAUAAAAGUUCCCAGAAGAAAAAGAAAGGGAAGAUUAUGAUAGGAAGCACUGAGGUGACUGGAGCUCUGAUCAGUCAGGCUUCUAAAGCUUAAUUCUUAACCCUAGGCUUCUUUCUGCUGGUAAAAAUAGCUACUGCCAAAAUAGUGAUGGCCUUAAAGAAGCUGCGGUGCUUUUGCUUCCAGAGGAAUUCCAUUUUGUUUCUGUGUACAGCAUUAAAACAAAUAUGUGGUAGAGAAAAUAAUAUUAGAGUUGCAAUAGAGAUUUUCCAGCUGCUCUUUAAUUUUUCCAAAAGAAAUAAUCGAGGGCAAAAUGAAAAUACAAGAUCCUUCUUUGAAUAGAGUCCUUUCUUCACUGUAGGCAAAAAUGAAUACACAGGAUCUUGAGCUGAGCUGAAACAGAUCUCUGAGGGUCCAUUUAGAGGGAUAUUUGAAGGCUUUGAAGAAUUCAGUGAAAAAAGGAGGCUGGAUUCUCAUCAGGAAUGCAGUGAAGAUAAGGAUUCUUCAAAAGAAAGGAGAAGUCUGUGCACUGGCCCUGCAAAAAGGCAGGAAGGGGAAAGACAGAAGCAAUCUCUGCAGGGUCAAGUAGACAAAGCAAGAUACAAUGUGUGGGAGGGCUAGAAGAAGAAGAAAAUAUACUUCCAGUCCCCAGUCUUGGUGGAUUAUUAAAUGUCAGAACGCUUGGCCAUCUGGUGAUGUCGUCAAAACCCAUUCUUGGGGUUGCUUUGAAAGGCCCUUGCACAACAUGCUAAGCUACGAAAGAGUGAGUUGGAGCUGUGUACCAUUUCUUCAAGGCAGAAGAGCUCACAGCAGGGCAGGAUUGUUCAUCCCUGCUGCCUGCAGGGGAAUGCAAAGAGGUUUGUGCGUAAUGAUCUCCUACCAGGACCGUGGGAUUUACCAUCAACCUGCACAGUGGUCUUUGCUUGUGAUGUGCAGUCUGGCCUAUGGCCCCAGCUGCCAUUAUCAGUAGGCCAUUCAGGUUCAGAUGUGUUUUAAGUUCUUACCCAUUAAACCAACGUGACUGAAGAGCACUGAAUGUGACAGCUGUCUGUCUCCUUUUUGGAGGUGCUCAUUCAUCCUUCACCGCUACAAGCUGCGGCUUGGUGUGUUGUGACUAACAGCAGGCAGUGGGAGGCCUGCUUUUGUUCCUGCAUCUCUUACUGACUUUGGGAAAUCUCUCCUGCUGUCUACUAAAGUUUCUCUGAAAAGCAUUUUAAACCAUUUUUUUUGUUGACCACGUUGUCGAUUAGAAGCAGACUGCAUCCCAUAUUCUGGGACCUCUUAAUGGAGAUUGCUUGUUCGAUUUUCCAAGGAACCCAGGAGUAAAUCUGGAGUGUUGUGAUUGCUGCAUAAUCAUCUUGAGGUUUAACCCUACUGGGUUAAACACAUUUCUGGAGUUCUUUGAGAAGAACUCCCUCAGGCACCUGGGAACACACAGUUCAGUCAUGUGGUGCUCUUUGCUGGUGAUGCUUGUCUGUUCCUUCCCUGAGUUUUCAGGGCUGGUAGCCUGGCAGCUGGUGCAUUUGGAGAGCCAACUUGUCAGAGACAGAGAACAAAAACAGAUGUUUAAGCUACCCAUUGAAGACUUGCUGAUGCCUUAUGGAAUGUGGCAAAAUGUUUAAGGUGAUUACAGCCCAUGUUUCUCACUGAUGAAUGUGGCAGAAAACUGUUGCAGAUCAAUCUGCUGGAGAAUGACAAGUGCAGUGAAGAGAAGGAAAAUUUCAUACUUGUGUGUCACUACACAAAUCAGCUGAACUUGGAUUAUAAGAACAGAGCAAAAGAAAGGAGUUUUGGAGGGGGAGAAAAGACAACUCAGCAUGAAGCAGGCCUCAGAUUUCCCACACUUCCAUGAGAGGGCAAAACAAGCACCGAAACAAGAAUAGCUAUUCACGUGCCUCAGGUGUUGGAAGAAAGAAUUUGAGAAUCUUACUCACUGUCUCGGUGCUGUGGUGAACCUGUGAUAAUGGGCUUCCUCCACUGCCUCUUCCCAACAUUAAGGGCUCUUCUCCAUUGGACAGCCAGUCCGUGCUGCCAGGUCCUGCUGCUGGGCUGGGAACUUCAAGCUAAAGAUACUAAG